rnacentral:rRNA from 1 species
UACAGAGGGGGCAAGCGUUGUUCGGAAUUACUGGGCGUAAAGGGCGCGUAGGCGGCCUGCUAAGUCGAACGUGAAAUCCCUGGGCUCAACCCAGGAACUGCGUCCGAUACUGGUUGGCUUGAAUCCGGGAGAGGGAUGCGGAAUUCCAGGUGUAGCGGUGAAAUGCGUAGAUAUCUGGAGGAACACCGGUGGCGAAGGCGGCAUCCUGGACCGGCAUUGACGCCGAGGCGCGAAAGCCAGGGGAGCAAACGGG